UACGGAGGAUGCAAGCGUUAUCCGGAAUGAUUGGGCGUAAAGCGUCCGCAGGUGGCAAUGUAAGUCUGCUGUCAAAGCGUCUGGCUCAACCAGAUAAAGGCAGUGGAAACUACAUAGCCAGAGUAAGGUAGGGGUAGAGGGAAUUCCUGGUGUAGCGGUGAAAUGCGUAGAGAUCAGGAAGAACACCGGUGGCGAAAGCGCUCUGCUGGACCUUAACUGACACUGAGGGACGAAAGCUAGGGGAGCGAAUGGG
rnacentral:rRNA from 1 species